rnacentral:pre_miRNA from 2 species
GGUGUGGGGAAUGUUGCUUUGGCUCGAGAGAUGAUGUAUGUGAUGUGCUGUGUCCAUGCCAUGCAUGCAUUCAAUGCCAAUCAUAUAUAUAUAAUAUAUAUGUAUAUCAAAGCACUUGUGACUGUUUCUCGGACCAGGCUUCAUUCCCCUCACU